rnacentral:lncRNA from 1 species
CUAGGAGCGCCCCCUCCUGCCCCGGCCUGUUCGGUGGGGGGUUGCCCCACCGUCACCUCAGGGGUGGCUUCCGCAUCGGUCACGGUGCCCCCAAGGGUGAGUUCUGCAGCCUCCGCUCCCACGGUUGCGGCGGCAGGAGGGGCUGCAAGGAGAACUAUUAGAAAGAACGAAGCGUAACACAUAAAGAAGCGCUGAGGGGGAAUGCUGCGGCGGGCCUGUCGUACCUUGCGCACUGUCCCCUCCCCCUACGUCGAGCGCUUCUUGGCGGCCGCCAUCGAUCAUUGCCGGGUCGGCCCCGGCAACACUUCCCAUUCCUGGAUAAGAGGGAAGAAAAAAGUGUUAGGCGCUAAAAAGAAAAAAAGAGAAAUGUACCCGACCAGGUUGCCGGGCGCACCUGUUCCCAGGGCCGCCGGCUUGCUUGCGGUCUGGGCGGCGUCACCCACACCCGUUGCUGCCGCCAUCGCUGCGUCCCCCGUCCCGACCUGGGGGCUUCCCCCACUCGUGCCGGGGGCUAUGCGCGGCUUCUUGCUCGAAGUUGCCGGUGGAGAGCUCACCGG